rnacentral:lncRNA from 1 species
AUGUAUUCCUUUGGUUAUUGGAAUCGCCGUGUGAUUGUUUUUGUAAAGGUUCAUCGUGUUGGUGACCUUAUUUGUUUCUUAAUCGUCUCUUUGAGACUUCAUCGCCGAUCGUAAUGAUGUUAGUUCAUUGGUCUAGGCGAUGCUUGUUUUUUUCUUCCUCACUGGUCUAGGGUCGUUUGUAGAUUCUUCGUGUUGUUGAGUCUUGUUCCGUUAGAUCGUAGUGUUGGUUUCUAUCAGUUCUUUGUGGUGUUGGAGUGUUUUCAUACAUACUUGUUCUUUACAAGUUGUAUGACAUGAAUUCUGGUUUAUCAGACGUGUUCUUCUGUUCAUGUUAAAGAGUCUUGUGAUUCUUUCUUGUUUGAUCAUAUUCAUGGUUGCAAAAGUCGCUAGGCGCUCCCUAGUCGGUCGACCGGGGAGUUGAGAGUACUCGGUCUAGGCGGAGAGUACUCGGGGAGUACUCGGACAUGUUAAAUUAUAAAGAAAUUACUUUUUGGAGAUUAAAUAUAUGUCAAAUAACAUAAAUUUACUAAUAUUUAUAACAAAAUAUGUGAAAAUAAUAUUCACUCCUUAAUAUGAUAGGCAUAGAAAUUAUGUUUUAUUAUUAUUUAAGUCAAACAAGGCCCGAGUUGACCUACUAGAUCCAAUUCUGGCCAAGGUUGAUCGCGUUUGACCAACUCCGAGUAAUUAGGCGGAGUCGAAGAAAGUCGCCUCGGCAGUCUACCUUGUAGCGACUACUCGGUGAGUACUCGGCCUUGGAAACCUUUUUUUACAACCAUGAUCAUAUUAACUUGAGUUUGUUAUUGAUAUGUAUGAUUCUUAUAUUUUUCUUUGUUGGCACAUGGUUUUUUAUUGUGAAUCUAAACUUCAUAGUCAAAGUGAAUAUGACGGCUGAUUCUAUGAUUGUUUGCUAGCUGAUGAAAAUGAUUUUGAAUCACAAGUUUUGCUAAGGAAAAGGUUUACUGGUGAUUUUAAUUCAUUCAUGUUAUCCUCUUUUUCUUCUGUCUAUUAUCUCUCUAUCUAGAAUGAGUUCUUGUGGUUCAAAAUCCCUGAACACGUUUAGUUUGUAGGAUGAUUUAGAAGCUUUGAAUCCCUAUUUGUAUGUGUUGUUCUUUGAGAGCUACACAUGUGUCAUCUGGUCUAGUCUGAGUGUUCACUAGCUUGGCGUUGUUUUGUGUGUUCAUCUAUUUACUUUCCAUGUUCUGUUCAAAAGCAAGAUUGUAAAUUCAGGUUAAUAAUACAAAGUCAAGAUAUUU